rnacentral:rRNA from 1 species
UACGUAGGGUGCGAGCGUUGUCCGGAAUUAUUGGGCGUAAAGGGCUCGUAGGCGGUCUGUUGCGUCGGGAGUGAAAACUCAGGGCUUAACCCUGAGCCUGCUUCCGAUACGGGCAGACUAGAGGUAUGCAGGGGAGAACGGAAUUCCUGGUGUAGCGGUGAAAUGCGCAGAUAUCAGGAGGAACACCUGCGGUGUAGACGGCUUACUGGACGGUAACUGACGCUGAGGCACGAAAGCGUGGGUAGCAAACAGG